GACGAACGCUGGCGGCGUGCUUAACACAUGCAAGUCGAACGAAGAGCGAUGGAAGCUUGCUUCUAUCAAUCUUAGUGGCGAACGGGUGAGUAACGCGUAAUCAACCUGCCCUUCAGAGGGGGACAACAGUUGGAAACGACUGCUAAUGCCGCAUACGAUCUGACCUCGGCAUCGAGGAUAGAUGAAAGGUGGCCUCUAUUUAUAAGCUAUCACUGAAGGAGGGGAUUGCGUCUGAUUAGCUAGUUGGAGGGGUAACGGCCCACCAAGGCGAUGAUCAGUAGCCGGUCUGAGAGGAUGAACGGCCACAGUGGGACUGAGACACGGCCCAGACUCCUACGGGAGGCAGCAGUGGGGAAUCUUCCGCAAUGGACGAAAGUCUGACGGAGCAACGCCGCGUGAGUGAUGACGGCCUUCGGGUUGUAAAGCUCUGUUAAUCGGGACGAAAGGCCUUCUUGCGAAUAGUUAGAAGGAUUGACGGUACCGGAAGAGAAAGCCACGGCUAACUACGUG
rnacentral:rRNA from 1 species